rnacentral:rRNA from 1 species
GAUGAACGCUGGCGGCGUGCCUAAUACAUGCAAGUAGAACGCUGAAGGAAGGAGCUUGCUCUUUCCGGAUGAGUUGCGAACGGGUGAGUAACGCGUAGGUAACCUGCCUGGUAGCGGGGGAUAACUAUUGGAAACGAUAGCUAAUACCGCAUAACAGUAGAUGUUGCAUGAUAUCUACUUAAAAGGUGCAAUUGCACCACUACCAGAUGGACCUGCGUUGUAUUAGCUAGUUGGUGAGGUAACGGCUCACCAAGGCGACGAUACAUAGCCGACCUGAGAGGGUGAUCGGCCACACUGGGACUGAGACACGGCCCAGACUCCUACGGGAGGCAGCAGUAGGGAAUCUUCGGCAAUAGACGGAAGUCUGACCGAGCAACGCCGCGUGAGUGAAGAAGGUUUUCGGAUCGUAAAGCUCUGUUGUAAGAGAAGAACGAGUGUGGGAGUGGAAAGUUCACACUGUGACGGUAUCUUACCAGAAAGGGACGGCUAACUACGUG